CGAUGGCAGAUGAUCGCUGGUGAGUCUCGCGUUGGCGGGAUUCGCUGGAGGAAAGUCCGAACACCAUACGGCAGCAUGCCGCGUAAAAUACGCGGGCAACCCCGACGCAAGUCGGGGUUGACGGAGAGUGUCACAGAAAACAUACCGCCGGUUCUUUGAGAAAAGCGCAGGUAAGGGUGAAAAGGCGAGGUAAGAGCUCACCGCUCGCGGAGCGAUUCGCGAGGCACGAGAAACCCCAUGCGGUGCAAGACAAAACAGAGGAAGGGUAGCCGGCCCGCCAAUCCUCGGGUACUGUCGCAUUGCGGUUCCGCGAUGGCGGGACCGGGCAUUCGUCCCGCGCAUGCAGGACGGAUGAGAUGAAUGAUCAUCCCGGCUGAGAAUUCAGUCGGACAGAAUUCGGCUUAUCGCCAUCGAAAC
rnacentral:RNase_P_RNA from 1 species